UGAGGAAUUUUGCGCAAUGGGCGCAAUCCUGACGCGGCAACGCCGCGUGGGUGAUGAAGGCCUUCGGGUCGUAAAGCCCUGUCAGGUGGGAAGAAUGUCCCGGGACUGAACAGGUUCCGGGAGUGACGGUACCACCAGAGGAAGCACCGGCUAACUCCGUGCCAGCAGCCGCGGUAAUACGGAGGGUGCAAGCGUUCUUCGGAAUUACUGGGCGUAAAGCGCGUGUAGGCGGUCCUGCAAGUCUGAUGUGACAGCCCCGGGCUUAACCCGGGAAGUGCAUUGGAAACUGUGGGACUUGAGUACUGGAGAGGAUGGGGGAAUUCCCGGUGUAGAGGUGAAAUUCGUAGAGAUCGGGAGGAAUAUCAGUGGCGAAGGCGCCCAUCUGGACGGUAACUGACGCUGAGACGCGAAAGCGUGGGGAGCAAACA
rnacentral:rRNA from 1 species